rnacentral:rRNA from 1 species
GACGUAGGGGGCCAGCGUUGUUCGGAAUUACUGGGUGUAAAGGGUUCGUAGGCGGUGUGGCAAGUCGGGAGUGAAAUUUCUGGGCUCAACUCAGAGACUGCUUCCGAAACUGCUGUGCUGGAGUGUGGGAGGGGCGCGUGGAAUUGCAGGUGUAGCGGUGAAAUGCGUAGAUAUCUGCAGGAACACCCGUGGCGAAAGCGGCGCGCUUGACCACUACUGACGCUGAGGAACGAAAGCUAGGGGAGCAAACAGG